rnacentral:rRNA from 1 species
GACGUAGGAGGCGAGCGUUGUCCGGAUUCAUUGGGCGUAAAGAGCACGCAGGCGGUUUGGCAAGUCGGAUGUGAAAACCCGAAGCUCAACUUCGGGCCUGCAUCCGAAACUGCCCGACUAGAGGUAGGUAGGGGAGAGUCGGAAUUCCUGGUGUAGCGGUGAAAUGCGCAGAUAUCAGGAGGAACACCGGUGGCGAAGGCGGAUCUCUGGGCCUUACCUGACGCUCAGGUGCGAAAGCUAGGGGGAGCGAACAGGG